GCCUGGAUAGCUCAGUUGGUAGAGCAGGGGAUUGAAAAUCCCCGUGUCGGCAGUUCGAUUCUGUCUCCGGGCACCA
rnacentral:tRNA from 1 species